GGUCCGAUGGUGUAGUUGGUUAUCACGUCUGUCUCACAAGUGCGACCUCGGGUCGAGCCGCUUGGUCACAGGAGGUCUCCAGUUCGAGCCUGGAUCGGACCA